rnacentral:rRNA from 1 species
UACGUAGGGUGCAAGCGUUGUCCGGAAUUAUUGGGCGUAAAGAGCUCGUAGGCGGUCUGUCGCGUCGGCUGUGAAAACCCGGAGCUCAACUCCGGGCCUGCAGUCGAUACGGGCAGACUGGAGUUCGGCAGGGGAGACUGGAAUUCCUGGUGUAGCGGUGAAAUGCGCAGAUAUCAGGAGGAACACCGAUGGCGAAGGCAGGUCUCUGGGCUGUAACUGACGCUGAGGAGCGAAAGCAUGGGGAGCGAACAGG